rnacentral:misc_RNA from 1 species
GACUGAAUGAAAUUUUUGUUUGACUCGUUGCUGCUUGCGAAUUAGGGGGUAAAGUUUGGUCUGAUAAUCUAUUACUAUCGUUUUUUUUCUUUUUCUUGUUUUUUUCUGUUUUCGAGGAUGGCUUGGUGUUCGUCUGAGCCUACAUUUUUGAGGUUUCAGCAAGUCCAUGGUUGUUGUACUCUCCAUAAGGUCCUUAAGCGCCAAGAAAGUUAUUCCGUCGUAUAAUCUUAAGCAUAUAUUAGUUUAGUUCACAUUCAUAUGACUCGUUCGUCUUCAGGUCAUUUUGUAGUAUGAUAUCAUAGCACUCGUUCAGUGUUUGGUGAUUAGACUUCUCGUAACUCAUCCAUUCAUCCUAGAUAGUUUAAUGUUUUGCCAUGAAUUCGAAGAGUUUGUUGUUAAUUAAUGUAUCUUUGUACGACUGAUCAUUGUUUUGUUUGCUUAAGUUUGUCUCAAGCUCUCUUGAUUUGAAAUGAUAUAAUACCUUUCUAUCCAACAAGGUAUUAGUUUAGCAUGAAAGUUCUUUAGGUAGUGUCUCUUUUUGUCCCGUCUUCCAUCCCUGAGUUGAUAGUACUUUUUUGGUUUCACUAUGGUUUUAUUUUCGGGUCUCCUAUCGCGUUUACGUACCGGUUUUUGCGUCUGCUAUUAUGAGAAGCAGGCUUUUUCCUCCGUCUGCUCUCUGUUAAUCAUGUCAUUAAUAUAUGCUUGGUCUUGUGAUAGUUUUGGUCUGAGUAUAAAGGGGUUCAUAAAUGAAAAUUUUUACCCUUUUUUUUUUGCUAUCUAGAAAAGGAUUUCAAAUAGCUGCAUUUGAGAUAAAUGUUCAAUAAGAAUAUCUAGUUGAUUGCUCACUGUUAUCUUAAUUAAAUAUCUUCAUUCGGAAUUCUUAUUUUUGCUCUUAAGGAAAAUGUCCAUCAUGCUUUUGAUUUUUAGAAGUUAUUGUAUGUUUGGAGUCAACUUUGCCAUAACUUCUGUGUUAUCCAUACAUACAUAUGUGCCUUAUUCAGGAACCUCUUUGCUUUGGUUUUGCAAGUGUUUGAAUAAUUCUUAGCUUAUCAUUAUAUAUUUUCUCUCGUUAAUUCGUUUAUUUUGUUCCAUGUCAUUUUUCUCUAGCUAAUGUUUUGCCUUUCUUUUAUGGCAUUGACGAGUCCCUCGGGAAUCCUCGUUUCCUCUUGCAUCCUUUAAUUGAGCUGUGAAAGUUCAAAUUUUCCCGUCGAUUCAGCCAUCUUGGCAACUUUAGGAUAUAGCUGGAUAGGUUGAAGACAACAAUAUAUUGCUGUGAAUCAAUUUUCCAGCCCCACAAAAAGCCUAAAACACGUUGAUAUACCAGCUAUAUACACUGGCAUACAGCUGGAAUAUACCAAAAACAGGUGCAAAUGUGGAAAUGCAGAUCAGAAAAUACAGCAUACAAAAUUAGAUAUAAUACCGGUUUCAGAAGGUUCAAAAUAUACUGGAUACGCGUCAUAUACAGCGGUAUACAUUAAGUCUACACCAUAUUUUUAAAAAGAAAUGGGGCCGAAGCCCAUUUGAGUUCCCUGCAGAAUUUUGUGAGAAAUGGGCCAAGCCCCAAAAGAUAAAAGCAAAAAAAAUGAAGGAAAACAUGGGCCAAAGUCCAAGUUUAACUACUUUCUCUCUAUAUAUUUUUGCUAUAUUGAUUGACUUACGUUAUUGAAUUUCGGUUUUAAUUUAAUAAUUCCCGGUGAU